rnacentral:rRNA from 1 species
UACGUAGGUGGCGAGCGUUGUCCGGAUUUACUGGGCGUAAAGGGAUCGUAGGUGGUUUCUUAAGUCAGAGGUGAAAGGCUACGGCUCAACCGUAGUAAGCCUUUGAAACUGGGAAACUUGAGUGCAGGAGAGGAGAGUGGAAUUCCUAGUGUAGCGGUGAAAUGCGUAGAUAUUAGGAGGAACACCAGUAGCGAAGGCGGCUCUCUGGACUGUAACUGACGCUGAGGCACGAAAGCGUGGGGAGCAAACAGGAUUAGAUACCCUGGUAGUCCCUGA